rnacentral:rRNA from 1 species
AGUGAACGCUGGCGGUAGGCCUAACACAUGCAAGUCGAACGGCAGCACAGUAAGUGCUUGCUCUUAUGGGUGGCGAGUGGCGGACGGGUGAGGAAUACAUUGGAAUCUACUCUUUCGUGGGGGAUAACGUAGGGAAACUUACGCUAAUACCGCAUAUGACUUACGGGUGAAAGCAGGGGAUCUUCGGACCUUGCGCGAUUGAAUGAGCCGAUGUCGGAUUAGCUAGUUGGUGGAGUAAAGGCACACCAAGGCGACGAUCCGUAGCUGGUCUGAGAGGAUGAUCAGCCACACUGGAACUGACACACAGACCAGACUCCUACGAGAGGCAGCAGUGGGAAGUAUGGCAGAAGUGGCGCAUGCCUGAUCCAGCCAUGCCGCGUGAGUGAAGAAGGCCGUGUGGUGGUAAAGCGCUUUUGGUGGGAAAGAAAAGCAGCAGGUUAAUACCCCGCUAUUCUGACGGUACGCAAAGAAAAAGCACCGUCUAACUGCG